UAAUUUGUUUGAAAUUCAAAGAACCUGGCGGUACUUUAGUCUAGUUAGAGGAACCUGUUAUAUAAACGAUAAACCACGUAGAAUCUUUCUUGUUCUUGUAUAGCCAGUAUACCUUCAUUGUUAGAUAAUUUAUAUAUGAAUUAUUGAAAUCGAGAAAAUCAAGUAUAUUAGAUCAAGGUGCUGCUAAUGAGCAAGUAUAAAUGGGUUACAAUAUUUUAAAAGAGGCUGAUUAUAGUGAGAAUUCACUAUGUGAGGAUGGAUUUAAUUGUAAGUUUAAAUUUAGUAAGGUAAAGUGAUAAUAGCUCUAAAGUGUGUACAUAUUGCCCGUCGCUUUCAUUAAAUCAGAUGAGAUAA
rnacentral:rRNA from 1 species